UACGUAGGGUGCGAGCGUUGUCCGGAAUCAUUGGGCGUAAAGCGCGUGUAGGCGGGUCGGUAAGUCCGCUCUGAAAGCCCGGGGCUCAACCCCGGGAGGCGGGUGGAUACUGUCGACCUCGAGUCCGGAAGAGGCGAGUGGAAUUCCUGGUGUAGCGGUGAAAUGCGCAGAUAUCAGGAGGAACACCAAUGGCGAAGGCAGCUCGCUGGGACGGUACUGACGCUGAGACGCGAAAGCGUGGGGAGCAAACAGG
rnacentral:rRNA from 1 species